rnacentral:rRNA from 1 species
GACGAACGCUGGCGGCGUGCUUAACACAUGCAAGUCGAACGGAAAGGCCCUGCUUUUGUGGGGUGCUCGAGUGGCGAACGGGUGAGUAACACGUGAGUAACCUGCCCUUGACUUUGGGAUAACUUCAGGAAACUGGGGCUAAUACCGGAUAGGAGCUCCUGCUGCAUGGUGGGGGUUGGAAAGUUUCGGCGGUUGGGGAUGGACUCGCGGCUUAUCAGCUUGUUGGUGGGGUAGUGGCUUACCAAGGCUUUGACGGGUAGCCAGCCUGAGAGGGUGACCGGCCACAUUGGGACUGAGAUACGGCCCAGACUCCUACGGGAGGCAGCAGUGGGGAAUAUUGCACAAUGGGCGGAAGCCUGAUGCAGCACCGCCGCGUGCGGGAUGACGGCCUUCGGGUUGUAAACCGCUUUCGCCUGUGACGAAGCGUGAGUGACGGUAAUGGGUAAAGAAGCACCGGCUAACUACGUG